AUGGAAUCUCUGCAGCUCCUGCAGGUCAUAUGGGGGAGUGUGACUCGUCAGAAAGGUUCUGUAGCCUCUUAUGUGCUGACUCAGCCAUCCUCAGCGUCAGUGACACUGGGACAGAUGGCCAGGAUCACCUGUGGGGGAAACGGCAUUGGAAGUAAAACCGUGAACUGGUACCAGCAGAAGCCAGGCCAGGCCCCUGUGCUGGGCAUUUAUCGUGAUAGUAACUGGCCCUCAGGCAUCCCAGACAGAUUCUCUGGCUCCAACUCUGGAAACACAGCCACGCUGACCAUCAGCAGUACCAGGCUGAGGAUGAGACUGAUUAUUACUGCCAGGUGUGGGACAGCAGCAGUGAUGCUCACAGUGACACAGACACAUGGGGAAGUUCUCACUUGGAAGAUGGAAGCUGAAGCUGAGUACCCACAACAAGCAGAGUGCAGCAGAGCUGCAAUCAGGAGCCCAGGGGAGAAACUGGGCAGUUCAGAG